GGAAUGUGGAUCCUAAGUUUAUGCGCCCAACUUUGAUCGUCCGUUUUAUUUGAGAAAUUUUUAUAAUUAGUAUUUUUGUUGUUAUGAGAUGAUAAAAUAUAAAUAGUACUUUACUCAUGACUUAUGUUUUUAAAUUUUUUCAAAAAAUUUUCAAAUAAGACAGACGAUUAAAGUUGGGCGCGGAAAACUAUGGUUACACUUAAA
rfam:Oryza sativa Japonica Group DNA, chromosome 11, cultivar: Nipponbare, complete sequence.